GUGUGAUGAAUAAGCAGUUUUUCAACUGUAUUCACUUUCGUAGAGUGUUUUAGGAAGGGAGAAUACGUAAGUGAAGUCAUGAUUAUCAGCCCAUUCUUGAUCCUAUCUCCAACACAAUCUCCAUCCCCUGAGUGAGGUUGAAUGAUACUUCUUUUGUCUUUUAUCACUGUAGAGGAGCAGGAAGCAAAGAUUUUGAAAUUUAUCCAUUAAGAAUAAUCAUGAGAGAUUAAAUCCAGCUGCUCCAAAACACAGUCUCAAGAUUCAAAUGUUGCAAAGAAAAAAAAAGAGAUGAUGUUUCAGACUGCAGACCACAUCUAAGAAGACAAAUUCAUCAGGAAAACCUCAUGAAUCCCAUUUUAAUAAAGACACUUCACUUUUAGAGCAGUCUCACUGUAUUACCCAGGCUGGAGUACACACAGUGGUGCAAUCACAGCUAACUACAACCUUGGUCUCCUGGGCUCAAUCAAUCCUCCCACCUCAGCAUCCCAAGU
rnacentral:lncRNA from 1 species